rnacentral:rRNA from 1 species
AUUGAACGCUGGCGGCAGGCCUAACACAUGCAAGUCGAACGGUAACAGGAAGCAGCUUGCUGCUUUGCUGACGAGUGGCGGACGGGUGAGUAAUGUCUGGGAAACUGCCUGAUGGAGGGGGAUAACUACUGGAAACGGUAGCUAAUACCGCAUAACGUCGCAAGACCAAAGAGGGGGACCUUCGGGCCUCUUGCCAUCGGAUGUGCCCAGAUGGGAUUAGCUAGUAGGUGGGGUAACGGCUCACCUAGGCGACGAUCCCUAGCUGGUCUGAGAGGAUGACCAGCCACACUGGAACUGAGACACGGUCCAGACUCCUACGGGAGGCAGCAGUGGGGAAUAUUGCACAAUGGGCGCAAGCCUGAUGCAGCCAUGCCGCGUGUAUGAAGAAGGCCUUC